rnacentral:rRNA from 1 species
AGACGGGGGGUGCUAGCGUUGUUCGGAAUUACUGGGCGUAAAGGGCGCGUAGGCGGCCCUGCGAGUCGGGCGUGAAAUCCCGGGGCUCAACCCCGGAACUGCGCUCGAUACUGCGGGGCUGGAGACCGGAAGAGGAGGGUGGAAUUCCCAGUGUAGAGGUGAAAUUCGUAGAUAUUGGGAGGAACACCGGUGGCGAAAGCGGCUCUCUGGUCCGGUUCUGACGCUGAGGCGCGAAAGCGUGGGGAGCAAACAGGAUUAGAAACCCUAGUAGUCC